CUGUGGGGACCUGGCAUGAGAACAGUAGCUGAUGGUGCCUAGACCUACAACACUGUUUCUGCUGGCACAGUGAAGUCUGCC
rnacentral:miRNA from 1 species